rnacentral:lncRNA from 1 species
UACGGAGUACACUGAUAGAAACAAAAGGGACCGUGUCACAGAGAGGGUGAAAGUGAAGAACUUAACCCAAACGUUGUUCUCUGAGCCCCACACAUGAGCUCUGUCAUGGGCGUACACACACAUACACACACACACACACACACACACACACACACACACACACACACACACACACACGCACGCACACGCUGACAGUGGUUAGGACCAGAGUAAGUCAGUUCUAUUUUAAUGAAAGUGAACACCUGUAGUCAUAUGCUAUUCUGAUUAACUGAGAAUCAUAGGUCAGGUAUGCCAUGGUGCUGGUAAGCCAGAUCAGCCUGCUAAGCACACAAAAGAAUCUCAGGGACCCAGGUGGAGACAGCCAGUUAAUAUCAAAGCAUUUUUUAAAGCCAGGACUAAAUGGGAGGGUCCGUGUGAGAUACAGGAUAAUCUCCUCUACACAUCGCUGAUAGAAUUUUAAAAUCCAGCUUUUGUACCUAUAUUUAAUAUAGGUAUUUACUAAAAAUUCAAUGAAAGACUUAACUUAAAUAGCGCUCAUUUUGCACUUUCCAUGAGAAAAGCAAAGGAACCUGAAAAACAGUUACCCUGCUGAUUAAAAUCACGCACUGCCUAUGAAUUAAAACGAUUGACCAUUCAGAGAAACAAUUACAAAGCUCUACAAUGUGUUAGCACAGAAUCCCAUCAGUUGUCUGCCUGAGCCCCGGCAAAGCGUCUCUUUCCAUUCCUCCAGCUCAUUAAUUCCCAAGCUGUGAUAUUAGGGAUGAUAACAUUUAGUUUUUCAGCGUGUUGCCUACUCCUCUUCCUUUUGUUUUUAAAGAGCAAGUGGGCAUUUUACCUCCUGGCCAUGAGCAGUCAUCUCGGCACUCUCCUUGGAGACUAAGCAUUGCCUUCUCUGUCUGACCUUGAGGACUAUGCCCAGCUUUUUUUUUUUCUUGGUCAAAUAAAAGCAGAGUUCUCAAAUUCAAUGUUCAGUUCCAUGAUGGUUUCAGGAAAUCCAUUUUCCUCUACUCCCUCUUAGUCCUGAACAGCUAGUAUUGCCUGGCAGGAUCUCAAGGUGGCUUUUAGAGGCUAAAGGACAUGGAACAAAGGGCCAGACUUGGGAACCUGGUGCCCUGACCACCUACUUCACUUACAGAUUUAGUAAUUGCUACUUUUAAGUGGUUCCAUUUCUUGGGCUCUAGAAUACAUGAAAGCACACAUAGGACCAGCCACCUAUAGCAGACCAUUUGGGAGAAGGCAUUCUGGGAAGUUCUGGGAUGCUGCAUGUUGUUAGAAAGCCACUUAUUUAGAACUUAAAUUGUGAGGAAGAGGGCUGUUAAAACAUCCCUUAGUACUUACCCAGGUUCCAUAAGAAAUACAGGUACCCGUGACCCUAUUGAGAAGAAGAACAUACUUGUGGCUGAAAGGGUAUGGACUUUGGCAUCAAAUAUAUAGUCUGAAUCUCAGUUCUCUUCUCUUCUCUUUAUGAUCAUGAGCAAGUGGCUCUUUUUCUGUGUCCUUAUGUCUAAGACCUACCACACAAUGUCUCCCCAGCAGUGUGUUACAAGAACUUAAAGUCCAUAUGUAUAACGUUCUUGAGGGACGUUGAUAAGUGGCAGACAUAUUGUUUUCAGAAACAAUUGGCCAUCAAAGAACACUUCGUGUGUAUUAGCUGCUGAAGUCCUCACUACUAAUUCUGUUCCUUCAGGCAAAGACCCAAGAACCUGUAUCUCACAAUGCCCAUUUGUAGCUUGCAUAAACCUUUACCAGUUAUUAUCUCCAGGGAUGUCAAGUGAAUACACCAUGGGCUUAGGAAGCGAAAGUUUCAUGACUACAAAGACUUGUUUCAUGUUUUCAUGGUAUGAUGUUUAAGUAUGCAGUGAACUUACUACAAUUAGUCAAAUUAACACAUUUAUCUCUUCAUAUACCCACCAUUAGUGUGUGGCAAGGGCACUCAUGAUACACUCUAUUAGCAAAUUUCAAAUGUGUGAUGCUAUGUAAUAGAUCCCUAGAAGAUUUUCAUGCUCAUAAUUGAAACUGUAUAUUUUCACCAGUAUCUCCCCAUUGCCCGGCCUCCAUCCCUGAGGGCUACUGUUCUACUCUCUGCUUCUCUGAGUUUGGUUUUUUAGAUUCCACCUUCGAUGAAAAUUACCAAAUACAUGACUAUAACAUGAUGUUUUUCAGGUCAGUUCAUAUUAUUGAAGAUGGUAGAGUUUUCUUAUUCCUGGAGACUGAAUAAAGUAGUAGUGUGUGUUUCUAUAAAUAACAAUUUUUUGCCAUCCCCUCUUGAUGGACACUUGGGCUUUCCCGACCACCAUACCUGUCGUGAGCUGUGUUUAAAUCAGUAUGAUACUGCUAAUGUCUCUCUGAGACACUGAUAUCAUUUCUUUUCAAUAAAUAGACAGAAGUAGGAUUAGAGGACCAUGCUAUAAUUUAUAGCAUACUUGUAAUUUUAUUGGGGAAUAAUCUCUAAAUUUCUUUCCACAAUAGCCACUGUAAUUUACAUUCCCUACCACAAAAGACAAGGUUCCUCUUCCCUUCACUUCCUCACCAGAACCUCUGACUUUUGUAAAGGUCACCGACAGGGGAGAGAGGUGAUCUGACCUUGUAGUUUUGCCAGCUGUGGUUACUGAUGCUAAGCAGUGCUUUAGACUCCUAUUGGCCAGUUUGUAUCUUGUUUGAGAAAACAUCUCUUCAAAUUCUUUGCCCACCUUUACAUUCUGGUUGUCACUUCUUUAACUACAGAGUUUCUUACAUAUUUUGGAGAUAAUCUCUCACCAAACACAUUAGCAAGCAAGUUCUUCUUCGUGGCAGUUUACCUUCUCAGCUCUGUCGUCUGUUGCUUCUUAUCUGUGCUGAAGUGUUUUCAUUUGCUGUCACUCCCACUGAUACCAUUUUACCUUUU